rnacentral:sRNA from 1 species
UAGAUUGCGGAGUCUGUCUCGAUUUCUCCAACGGAGUCACUUCCUAGCUGUGUAGCCUUAGGCAAGGCCCUGAACCUCUCUGAACCACACAUUUCCCUUCUGUGGCAGGGGACAGUGUGCCCUUCACAGGCCGUCGUGAGGACUGAAUUCAGUAAUCCGGGAGCAGAAAAACACUGGCAAAUGUUAUUGUCCGCUCCCUCCCCUCCCCUAGGCGGCCGUGGCUCUGAGGGACAUUUCCUGGCAGCAGCCCUACCCGAUGGACUUCUACGCUGGCAGCUCCUUGGGGCCCUGGACGGUGAACCACGGCCAGGACCGCCGUCCCCACGCCCCCGGCCGGCCCGCGCGGGGGAAGGUGCAGGAGGAGUCCACGCAUCCCCCUUCAGCCGUGACUUGCGAGGACUGCAGCUGCAGGGACGAGAAGGUGGCGCCGCUUGCUCCUUGACACGCUGCCGGGCCUCAGGGUCCUGCCCUCCGGAGGAGCAGCCUCGAGGCUGGUGGUUUUCAGAGCAGGAGGCCGACGUUUUCUCCGCAUUGGAAGAGCCCGCC